UACGGGGGGAGGCAAGCGUUGUUCGGAUUUACUGGGCGUAAAGGGCGCGUACGGCGGCCACCGCAAGUCGACUGUGAAAUCUCCCGGGCUUAACCCGGAAAGGUCAGCCGAUACUGCGGGGCUAGAGUGCAGAAGGGGGCAACUGGAAUUCUCGGUGUAGCGGUGAAAUGCGUAGAUAUCGAGAGGAACACCUGCGGCGAAGGCGGGUUGCUGGGCUGACACUGACGCUGAGGCGCGAAAGCUAGGGGAGCGAACGGG
rnacentral:rRNA from 1 species